UGGGGAAUAUUGCACAAUGGGCGCAAGCCUGAUGCAGCGACGCCGCGUGCGGGAUGACGGCCUUCGGGUUGUAAACCGCUUUUGACUGGGAGCAAGCCCUUCGGGGUGAGUGUACCUUUCGAAUAAGCACCGGCUAACUACGUGCCAGCAGCCGCGGUAAUACGUAGGGUGCAAGCGUUAUCCGGAAUUAUUGGGCGUAAAGGGCUCGUAGGCGGUUCGUCGCGUCCGGUGUGAAAGUCCAUCGCUUAACGGUGGAUCCGCGCCGGGUACGGGCGGGCUUGAGUGCGGUAGGGGAGACUGGAAUUCCCGGUGUAACGGUGGAAUGUGUAGAUAUCGGGAAGAACACCAAUGGCGAAGGCAGGUCUCUGGGCCGUCACUGACGCUGAGGAGCGAAAGCGUGGGGAGCGAACAGGAUUAGAUACCCUGGUAGUCCACGCCGUAAACGGUGGAUGCUGGAUGUGGGGACCAUUCCACGGUCUCCGUGUCGGAGCCAACGCGUUAAGCAUCCCGCCUGGGGAGUACGGCCGCAAGGCUAAAACUCAAAGAAAUUGACGGGGGCCCGCACAAGCGGCGGAGCAUGCGGAUUAAUUCGAUGCAACGCGAAGAACCUUACCUGGGCUUGACAUGUUCCCGACAGCCCCAGAGAUGGGGCCUCCCUUCGGGGCGGGUUCACAGGUGGUGCAUGGUCGUCGUCAGCUCGUGUCGUGAGAUGUUGGGUUAAGUCCCGCAACGAGCGCAACCCUCGCCCUGUGUUGCCAGCACGUCGUGGUGGGAACUCACGGGGGACCGCCGGGGUCAACUCGGAGGAAGGUGGGGAUGACGUCAGAUCAUCAUGCCCCUUACGUCCAGGGCUUCACGCAUGCUACAAUGGCCGGUACAACGGGAUGCGACACCGCGAGGUGGAGCGGAUCCCUUAAAACCGGUCUCAGUUCGGAUUGGAGUCUGCAACCCGACUCCAUGAAGGCGGAGUCGCUAGUAAUCGCGGAUCAGCAACGCCGCGGUGAAUGCGUUCCC
rnacentral:rRNA from 1 species